rnacentral:ncRNA from 1 species
CAAAGGGGUGCCUGAAAAGGCUGAGAUUAUACCCUUAUAACCUGAUCCGGUCAAUGCCGGCGUAGGGAUUGUU